rnacentral:lncRNA from 1 species
UGGAUUUACUGAUAUGAGUCACCCUAUGGACCUAGAGGCUGAAUCUGAUCAAUGCUUCACUCUGUAAACAAGACAAGGCUAUCAGUAAUCUUACAAUAUGGACAUCUAUAUUGGCUUCUUGUAUUACAGCCAGACAUAUAACCAACUAAUGGGAGAGAGAAGACAUAAAUAUGGGAGAGAGAAGACAUAAAUUACUGGAUAACAUUAGUGUUUGUGAACUACCCAAUUUAGAACUGCAUGUUGAAAUCAUAAGGCACUGAGAUUACAUGCUGCCUCUGCGAGUUUUGAUUAGUGGAAACAUCACAACAUUUUAUCAUUUAUUUGCCUUUUGCAGUUAAAAACAAACUGCGCUUUUGUUUGUUGUGCAGUUUGUAUUGUAAUCCACUUUAAAAAAUCUACCUACAUUUUGAACACUGUUCAAGCGAAGGUGCUCUAUAAGCAUGAUUUUUUUUUAAAUCUAUGGCCCCAUAUA